UACGAAGGGGGCUAGCGUUGCUCGGAAUUACUGGGCGUAAAGCGUGCGCAGGCGGUUUGUUAAGCCAGAUGUGAAAGCCCCGGGCUCAACCUGGGAACUGCGUUUGGUACUGGCAAGCUAGAGUACGGCAGAGGGGGGUGGAAUUCCACGUGUAGCAGUGAAAUGCGUAGAGAUCGGGAGGAACAUCAGUGGCGAAGGCGGCCAUCUGGGACAACACUGACGCUGAAGCACGAAAGCGUGGGGAGCAAACAGG
rnacentral:rRNA from 1 species